AACCACGCAGUUUUUUCUGGUUUUGUUUCUUCCUUUUGCUAUAUUCUUAACUUUGUGAGUAUAAUGUGCAUGAGCUUCUUUUAAUUGCCUUUUACGCAUGAUCAGGAUCCAGAGGAUAAACCUCCAGAAAGACAAGAUUUAAACGAAAGCACACUAGACUUGUCAUUGGGCUUCACAGAUCACGAGAAAAAACGAUGCUGACUUGAAAACCAAUUGGACAAAAGACGGUAAACUGGACAGAGUGAACUCCAAUAGCACCGGCUGAUGCUGCUCGUAUCAGUUGAG
rnacentral:lncRNA from 1 species